CUACUUCAAAUUUGUAUGGAGUUGGAACGUUUACCUACGUUUGGCGCUAGGGGCGCUGUUCCAACUGCAUACCUACAUAUUUUAGUUA
rnacentral:pre_miRNA from 1 species